GACGAACGCUGGCGGCGUGCCUAAUACAUGCAAGUCGAACGCAGUGGGGACGGGUGAGUAACACGUGGGUAACCUCCCAUCAGAGGGGAUAACACUUGGAAACAGGUGCUAAACCGAUACUGAUGGAUGGACCCGCGGUGCAUUAGCUAGUGGGUGAGGUAAAGGCCCACCAAGGCCACGAGGCAUAGCCGACCUGCGAGGGGGCUCGGCCACACUGUGACUGAGACACGGCCCAGACUCCUACGGUAGGCGUCAGUAGAGAAUCUUCUGCAAUGGACGAAAUUCUGACCGAGCAGCGCCGCGUGAGUGAAGAAGGUUUUCGGAUCGUAAAACUCUGUUGUUAGAGAAGCGGUAUCUAACCAGAAAGCCACGGCUAACUACGUGCCAGCAGCCGCGGUAAUUC
rnacentral:rRNA from 1 species